rnacentral:rRNA from 1 species
UACGUAGGGUGCGAGCGUUGUCCGGAAUUAUUGGGCGUAAAGGGCUCGUAGGCGGUUUGUCGCGUCGGGAGUGAAAACCAGGUGCUUAACACCUGGCUUGCUUUCGAUACGGGCAGACUAGAGGUAUUCAGGGGAGAACGGAAUUCCUGUGUAGCGGUGAAAUGCGCAGAUAUCAGGAAGAACACCCGUGGCGAAGGCGGCUCUCUGGGACGGUACUGACGCUGAGACGCGAAAGCGUGGGGAUCGAACAGG